CGUGUAGGCGGUUCCGCAAGUCAGGUGUGAAAGCCCAGGGCUCAACCCUGGAAGUGCACAUGAUACUACGGAGCUUGAGUACUGAAGAGGAGAGCGGAAUUCCCGGUGUAGAGGUGAAAUUCGUAGAUAUCGGGAGGAACACCAGUGGCGAAGGCGGCUCUCUGGGCAGAUACUGACGCUGAGACGCGAAAGCAUGGGGAGCAAACAGGAUUAGAUACCCUGGUAGUCCAUGCUGUAAACGAUGAGAACUGGGUGUUGUGGGUAUUGACCCCCGCGGUGCCGAAGCCAACGCGUUAAGUUCUCCGCCUGGGAAGUACGGCCGCAAGGCUAAA
rnacentral:rRNA from 1 species